rnacentral:rRNA from 1 species
GGAGCCAGCAGUGGGGAAUAUUGCACAAUGGGCGCAAGCCUGAUGCAGCCAUGCCGCGUGUAUGAAGAAGGCCUUCGGGUUGUAAAGUACUUUCAGCGAGGAGGAAGGGGUUAAGGUUAAUAACCUUGGCCAUUGACGUUACUCGCAGAAGAAGCACCGGCUAACUCCGUGCCAGCAGCCGCGGUAAUACGGAGGGUGCAAGCGUUAAUCGGAAUUACUGGGCGUAAAGCGCACGCAGGCGGUUUGUUAAGUCAGAUGUGAAAUCCCCGGGCUCAACCUGGGAACUGCAUUUGAAACUGGCAAGCUUGAGUCUCGUAGAGGGGGGUAGAAUUCCAGGUGUAGCGGUGAAAUGCGUAGAGAUCUGGAGGAAUGAACGGUGGCGAAGGCUGCCCCCUGG